rnacentral:rRNA from 1 species
UACGUAGGGUGCAAGCGUUGUCCGGAAUUAUUGGGCGUAAAGAGCUCGUAGGCGGUCUGUUGCGUCGGCUGUGAAAACCCGGGCUCAACCCCGGGCCUGCAGCCGAUACGGGCAGACUAGAGUUCGGCAGGGGAGACUGGAAUUCCUGGUGUAGCGGUGAAAUGCGCAGAUAUCAGGAGGAACACCAGCGGCGAAAGCACUCUGCUGGGCCGACACUGACACUGAGAGACGAAAGCUAGGGGAGCGAAUGGG